AUCACUUCUCAGACUUUUGGGUGAGAUAAAAAUAUCUGAUACGUUAUAGGAGCCGGGAGUAGGAAUAGGAGCUUGCUCCCUCCACUCCACACAUCGACCCGGUAUUGCAGUACCUCCGGGCAUGGUGCACCCUCC
ensembl:snRNA U2 U2 spliceosomal RNA